CCUCCAGUUAUUGGCACACAUGCAGUAGCUUGUUCCUCCUGUGUGUGACGUACGGAGGGAUAGGAAACGCAAACUCCAGUGUUGUGUCUGCAGAGCCGGCAGCUCCCAUCUACUGGUCCUAUCCUCAUUCGCUGGCACAUAC
ensembl:snoRNA